rnacentral:rRNA from 1 species
GAUGAACGCUGGCGGCGUGCUUAACACAUGCAAGUCGAACGAAGCACUUUUACAGAUUUCUUCGGAAUGAAGUUUUAGUGACUGAGUGGCGGACGGGUGAGUAACGCGUGGGUAACCUGCCUCACACAGGGGGAUAACAGUUGGAAACGGCUGCUAAUACCGCAUAAGCGCACAGUACCGCAUGGUACAGUGUGAAAAACUCCGGUGGUGUGAGAUGGACCCGCGUCUGAUUAGCUAGUUGGCAGGGCAACGGCCUACCAAGGCGACGAUCAGUAGCCGACCUGAGAGGUGACCGGCCACAUUGGGACUGAGACACGGCCCAAACUCCUACGGGAGGCAGCAGUGGGGAAUAUUGGCACAAUGGGGGAAACCCUGAUGCAGCGA